rnacentral:misc_RNA from 1 species
UCUCCGUAGGUGAACCUGCGGAGGGAUCAUUACUGAGUUGUCAAGGGUUUCGAUGCCGUCAGCCAAUUCUUGCAUGCAUGUCCUCGCCCUAACAAUCAUCUUCCAAGCACCUGUGCACAUUUUUGAGGGAGUCUGGAGCUGGUUGCCGCUCUUGGGUGAUUUUCCCUCAUUCCCUUAAAUCAUUAUACUCUAUUAACAAUGUUGAACGCGCUCCGUGCCGCACUGCUAUUAAAAUAAUACAACUUUUAACAACGGAUCUCACGGCUCUAGCACCGUUGA